GAUAAACGCUAGCUACAGGCUUAACACAUGCAAGUCGAGGGGAAACGACAUCGAAAGCUUGCUUUUGAUGGGCGUCGACCGGCGCACGGGUGAGUAACGCGUAUCCAACCUGCCCAUCACUUGGGAAUAACCUUGCGAAAGUAAGACUAAUACCCAAUGAUAUCCCACGAAGGCAUCGGAAUGGGAUUAAAGAUUUAUCGGUGAUGGAUGGGGAUGCGUCUGAUUAGCUUGUUGGCGGGGUAACGGCCCACCAAGGCAACGAUCAGUAGGGGUUCUGAGAGGAAGGUCCCCCACAUUGGAACUGAGACACGGUCCAAACUCCUACGGGAGGCAGCAGUGAGGAAUAUUGAUCAAUGGGCGAGAGCCUGAACCAGCCAAGUAGCGUGCAGGAAGACGGCCCUAUGGGUUGUAAACUGCUUUUAUAAGGGAAUAAAGUGGGUCACGUGUGACUUUUUGCAUGUACCUUAUGAAUAAGGACCGGCUAAUUCCGUG
rnacentral:rRNA from 1 species